AAUGGGCGCAAGCCUGAUGCAGCGACGCCGCGUGAGGGAUGACGGCCUUCGGGUUGUAAACCUCUUUCGCCAGGGACGAAGCGCAAGUGACGGUACCUGGUAAAGAAGCACCGGCCAACUACGUGCCAGCAGCCGCGGUAAUACGUAGGGUGCGAGCGUUGUCCGGAAUUACUGGGCGUAAAGAGCUCGUAGGCGGUUUGUCACGUCGUCUGUGAAAUCCUGCAACUCAAUUGUAGGCGUGCAGGCGAUACGGGCAGACUUGAGUACUACAGGGGAGACUGGAAUUCCUGGUGUAGCGGUGAAAUGCGCAGAUAUCAGGAGGAACACCGGUGGCGAAGGCGGGUCUCUGGGUAGUAACUGACGCUGAGGAGCGAAAGCGUGGGGAGCAAA
rnacentral:rRNA from 1 species